GCGACAAUUUCGGACGACAGACUUGGUGUGCAAAGACCUUGAUUCUAACUUCUCUUCAAGGCUCAGGUGAAAAAGUCUGAUGUCGAUGCAGAAAACACCAAACAAGAUGAGUCACGGGGGCCCACGAGGCUGCGGCGCUGAUGAGCCUGCAGUGCAGCGUGGGUAAUUAGGCAGCGCAGGGAUGAAGAGGCAGAGUACAGUAAUAUCUCCCGUGGAGGCCGACCCGGCUCUGACAGGACUUUCUCCAAUAGCACAGCGUGAG